GCCUGAGUGGCUCAGUGGUUGAGCUUCUGCCUUUGGCCCAGGGGUCCUGGGAUCAAGUCCCACAUCAGGCU
rnacentral:tRNA from 1 species